rnacentral:rRNA from 1 species
UACAGAGGGUGCAAGCGUUGUUCGGAAUUAUUGGGCGUAAAGGGCGCGUAGGCGGUGCUGUAAGUCUGUAGUGAAAUCUCUGGGCUCAACUCAGAGUCUGCUAUAGAAACUGCAGUGCUAGAGUGUGGGAGAGGUGAGUGGAAUUCCCGGUGUAGUGGUGAAAUGCGUAGAUAUCGGGAGGAACACCUGUGGCGAAAGCGGCUCACUGGACCACAACUGACGCUGAGGCGCGAAAGCUAGGGGAGCAAACAGG